UCCCCUCAGUGUCGCGUGAACUCUCGAUCGUUGCGUAUCGUUCAAAAUUCACAAACUAUUUAAAAAUUUAUCUUUUCAAAAAGCCCUUUUCAAAUAGAAAUUAUUAUUUAUCAUCACUUCAAUCGUGUAAUUAGUGCUUUUCUUUUCUUAAUCGCGAAUAUAAUUCCGUGAUAUUCACUUUGCUCUUUUUUUUUCAUCGAAAAAAAUUUACUGUGAAACAGUGAGAAAAAAAAGAAAGUGAGAAAAAAUGGUGUUUCCCGAAAAGUACAUAAGAUCGCUAAAAAGCGAAUAUGGUUAUGCCAUGGACGUCGAUGUCAACAAUAAUAUUUCUUUUGAUUUGCUGAAUCAAACUGCAAGUAUCCUCAACAAUAAUAGUUCGGAGAAGCCAGAUCCAGACAACAUUAAAAUGUUUGUCGGCCAAGUGCCAAAGGAUAUGGACGAGAAUGACCUUCGACCUAUCUUCGAGGAAUACGGCCGAGUUCAUCAAAUCAAUGUGUUGAGAGACAAAUUCAGUGGAAACAGCCGUGGUUGCUGCUUUGUUACGUUUUUUACCAGAAAAGCUGCCUUGGGAGCCCAGAACGCGCUUCAUAACAUCAUGACCUUCAAAGGGAUGGUACAUCCAAUCCAAAUGAAGCCCGCUGACAGUGAAAACAGAAAUCAACGAAAACUUUUUGUUGGUAUGCUUUCGAAGAAGUACACGGAAAAUGAUGUACGAAAUAUGUUCGGCGUUUUUGGUACAAUUGAGGAAUGUUCUGUAUUACGUGACAAUGGACAAAGCAAAGGUUGCGCAUUCGUGACAUUCUCCAGUAAACAGUCGGCCAUUAAUGCAAGCAAGACCCUUCAUCACUCCCAAACAAUGGAGGGCUGCUCGGCACCUCUAGUCGUAAAAUUCGCGGAUACGCAAAAAGAAAAGGAGCAAAAGAGAAUGCAACAAAUCCAGGCGAAUCUCUGGAAUAUUGCUGGUGUCAAUAUGACGCCACACUAUCUAACGACAACGAAUGAAGCAUUGGCGCCUACGUCGCUGCAGCUUUUACAGCAAUUACAAGCGACGUCAAGUGCAGCAACGCCUGUGGCCGCUAAUGCCGGUGCAAAUGCACUUUCAAGUGUACAACAUCAAUUACUUCUGCAGCAACAUUUGGGUCUUGGUGCUGCAACAGCGGCAACAGCAGCGCCCGCUGCAAUACCAACACAACCGGAAAUAAGUCCGGCAAAUUUACAAAGUCUCGCGACACUUGCGUCAUUGAGCAAUAGCGCCGGUGAGUAUGCAAACGCCGGUGUCACGCCAAUGAGUGUGCAAAAUCUUGUGACCCUAGCAGCGAUGACAGGCGGAAACGGUAACCUUCAAGUUUCGCCAAACACGCUAAGUGGAUUGGCGAAUUCUUCAGCAGGUAUGUCGCUAUGGUCCACUGGAGGUAGUUUGAGUCCUGUUACGUCCCUUGCGCUCAAUUCCUUGACGGGAACUCCCUUAAACGGACUACAGGACACAAUAAGCAAUGCUUACUCCAGUUUGCAACAAUACGCAGGGUUCCCGACAUUUACAGCCGCAGCUGUAAAUGCGGCUGCAGCGGCCGCACAAAAUUCGGCCUUUUCAAGUGCAGGCAAACAAAUUGAAGGUCCAGAGGGUGCAAAUCUUUUUAUCUAUCAUCUUCCUCAGGAAUUCACCGACACUGAUCUUGCAUCAACUUUCCUCCCAUUUGGCAAUGUUAUAUCGGCCCGAGUUUUCAUUGACAGAAACACCAAGAGGAGCAAAUGUUUCGGUUUUGUGUCGUACGAUAAUACAAAGAGUGCACAGGCAGCAAUACAAGCGAUGCAUGGCUUUCCAAUUGGUCAAAAACGACUGAAGGUCCAACCAAAGAGACCCAAGGAUUCGACAAAACCGUAUUAGCCAUUCGUCGCAACGAAACUCCAAGAUAAUUAUUAUCGCUGGAACAUUAAAUUUUCUCUUAGGAAAAUGUUCGAAAAAAAAGAAAUAAAAAAAAGGAAAUCUUAGAGAAUUGCUAUUAUCUGACAUCUGGUGGCGAAAUUUUGACAGUCGUUUAGUUUUUUAAUUUCUUACUCGGACGAACCACUGCAAAAUAAAAUAAUCAGACCUGUGGAGAUGAACAAGAAAUAUGCAAAUGAUGCUGAGAGACGAUUUGCAAAAGAAGUCACGGCAUUGUUUGUUGCCUCAAAGCCUGAUGCUCCCUUGAAAGCUGGUAAGGUGAUAAACAAGAAAAGUGUAACAUCAAAAAUGAAACCUCCAAAAUUUUUGAGAUGCGGCAAACCACUUUCAUUUAAAAUUCGUUUUUACACAAUUGAUGUUCCAGAACGUCGUGCAUUGGAUUAUAUGUAUUUGAUUUAUAAAGGAACAGUUAAGGGUUGUUGAGAAAAAUUC